GACGAACGCUGGCGGCGUGCUUAACACAUGCAAGUCGAACGGAAAGGCCCUGCUUUUGUGGGGUGCUCGAGUGGCGAACGGGUGAGUAACACGUGAGUAACCUGCCCUUGACUUUGGGAUAACUUCAGGAAACUGGGGCUAAUACCGGAUAGGAGCUCCUGCUGCAUGGUGGGGGUUGGAAAGUUUCGGCGGUUGGGGAUGGACUCGCGGCUUAUCAGCUUGUUGGUGGGGUGGUGGCUUACCAAGGCUUUGACGGGUAGCCGGCCUGAGAGGGUGACCGGCCACAUUGGGACUGAGAUACGGCCCAGACUCCUACGGGAGGCAGCAGUGGGGAAUAUUGCACAAUGGGCGGAAGCCUGAUGCAGCAACGCCGCGUGCGGGAUGACGGCCUUCGGGUUGUAAACCGCUUUCGCCUGUGACGAAGCGUGAGUGACGGUGAUGGGUAAAGAAGCACCGGCUAACUACGUG
rnacentral:rRNA from 1 species